UACGGAGGGUGCAAGCGUUAUCCGGAUUCACUGGGUUUAAAGGGUGCGUAGGCGGGUAAGUAAGUCCGGGGUGAAAUCUCUGAGCUUAACUCAGAAACUGCCGUGGAUACUAUUUGUCUUGAAUAUUGUGGAGGUGAGCGGAAUAUGUCAUGUAGCGGUGAAAUGCUUAGAUAUGACAUAGAACACCAAUUGCGAAGGCAGCUCACUACACAAUCAUUGACGCUGAGGCACGAAAGCGUGGGGAGCAAACAGG
rnacentral:rRNA from 1 species